rnacentral:rRNA from 1 species
GUUGACCUCGGAUCAGGUAGGGAUACCCGCUGAACUUAAGCAUAUCAAUAAGCGGAGGGAUCAUUACGAGUGAGGACUAACCGGUCCACCUCCACCGUGUCUAUGUACUUGUUUGCUUCGCGGGGCGCAUUUCUGGCGCGGGGGGCAUCUUGCCCGGGCCGCGCCGCGGAGACCCAACACAACACUGUCUGAAGGUGCGUCUGAGUCGAUUUAUUUAAUCGUUAAACUUUCACACGAUCUCUUGGUUUCGCAUCUAUGAAGAAGCACCAAAUGCCAUAUUUAUG